AUUGAACGCUGGCGGCAGGCUUAACACAUGCAAGUCGAGCGGGGUGAUGGUGCUUGCACUAUCACUUAGCGGCGGACGGGUGAGUAAUGCUUAGGAAUCUGCCUAUUAGUGGGGGACAACAUCUCGAAAGGGAUGCUAAUACCGCAUACGUCCUACGGGAGAAAGCAGGGGAUCACUUGUGACCUUGCGCUAAUAGAUGAGCCUAAGUCGGAUUUGCUAGUUGGUGGGGUAAAGGCCUACCAAGGCGACGAUCUGUAGCGGGUCGGAGAGGAUGAUCCGCCACACUGGGACUGAGACACGGCCCAGACUCCUACGGGAGGCAGCAGUGGGGAAUAUUGGACAGUGGGGGGAACCCUGAUCCAGCCAUGCCGCGUGUGUGAAGAAGGCCUUAUGGUUGUAAAGCACUUUAAGCGAGGAGGAGGCUCUUUUGGUUAAUACCCAAGAUGAGUGGACGUUACUCGCAGAAUAAGCACCGGCUAACUCUGUGCCAGCCGCCGCCGUAA
rnacentral:rRNA from 1 species